CUACGGGUGGCUCCAGUGGGGAAUAUUGCACAAUGGGCGCAAGCCUGAUGCAGCCAUGCCGCGUGUAUGAAGAAGGCCUUCGGGUUGUAAAGUACUUUCAGCGGGGAGGAAGGGAGUAAAGUUAAUACCUUUGCUCAUUGACGUUACCCGCAGAAGAAGCACCGGCUAACUCCGUGCCAGCAGCCGCGGUAAUACGGAGGGUGCAAGCGUUAUAGGAAUUACUGGGCGUAAAACGCACGCAGGCGGUUUGUUAAGUCAGAUGUGAAAUCCCCGGGCUCAACCUGGGAACUGCAUCUGAUACUGGCAAGCUUGAGUCUCGUAGAGGGGGGUAGAAUUCCAGGUGUAGCGGUGAAAUGCGUAGAGAUCUGGAGGAAUACCGGUGGCGAAGGCGGCCCCCUGGACGAAGACUGACGCUCAGGUGCGAAAGCGUGGGGAGCAAACAGGAUUAGAUACCCCAGUAGUC
rnacentral:rRNA from 1 species